rnacentral:misc_RNA from 1 species
UUUCUAUAGGUGAACCUGCGGAAGGAUCCUUGUCGUGAACCUGACCAAAAUAGACCGCGCAUGCGUCAUCCAAUAUGCCGGUGACGGUAGUGUCCGUUGCUCGGCCAAGUCCGCGACCGCCUCCCCUCCUCGGAGUGGGGGCUCGGGGUAAAAAAAACCACGGCGCCAAAGGCGUCAAGGAACACUGUGCCUCACCCGGGGGCAAGGCUAGCUUGCUAGUCAUCCCCUGUGUUGCAAAGCUAUUUAAUCCACAUGACUCUCGGCAACGGAUAUCUUGGCUCUC